AUGAGCUGGAGAAUUCGGUUAGUUAGAGGCUUGUGCUUGGUACAACAGGGUGUUGGUGUCAAACGCUCGGUUCAAGAAGAGCAAAUUAAAGGAAGACGAAGUCACAAUGGAGCAUGGUCAUUUGGAAUAUUAAAGAAAGACGAAUUCACAACGGACCAUAGUCAUGGUUGUGUAAAGUCGACGGAGAUAUGA